GACGAACGCUGGCGGCGUGCUUAACACAUGCAAGUCGAACGCGCCUGUCCUCUGGGUUUCUGGGGGGUGGGUGAGUGGCGAACGGGUGAGUAACACGUGAGUAACCUGCCCCCUUCUUCGGGAUAACGGUCUGAAAGGGCUGCUAAUACCGGGUAUUCACUGGUCUCCGCAUGGGGUCUGGUGGAAAGGUUUUUUUCUGGUGGGGGGUGGGCUCGUGGCCUAUCAGCUUGUUGGUGGGGUGAUGGCCCACCAAGGCUUUGACGGGUAGCCGGCCUGAGAGGGUGACCGGUCACAUUGGGACUGAGAUACGGCCCAGACUCCUACGGGAGGCAGCAGUGGGGAAUAUUGCACAAUGGGCGCAAGCCUGAUGCAGCGACGCCGCGUGAGGGAUGGAGGCCUUCGGGUUGUGAACCUCUUUCGCCCGUGGUCAAGCCGCGACGUGGGUCGUGGUGAGGGUAGUGGGUAAAGAAGCGCCGGCUAACUACGUG
rnacentral:rRNA from 1 species